AUGCUUUGCUUUUCCUGGUGCUACUUUCCUUUGCUCAGCUUUGCCUUCCCUGGCCGUGCUUUGUUUUGCUUUAUGGGGCCAUGCUUUCCUUUUUUUACCUUUGCCUUGCUCUCUUUUGCCUCACCUGCUCCUGCUCUCACUUCUAUUUUCAGGCCAUGCUUGCCUUUGUUUUGCUUUGCUUUGCUUUACCUGGUGCUACUUUCCUUGCUCAGCUUUGCCUUCCCUGGCCUUGCUUUCGUUUGCUGUAUCAGGCCGUUUUUUCCUUUUCCUUUGUUUAGCUUCCCUUUGCUCCGCUUUGCCUUGCUAUGUUUUGCCUUUUCUGGCCAUGUUUUGCUUUUUUUUUUUUUUUUUUUUAAUUGUUCAUUGCAUUCUUUUGUUUUCCUUUUGGACCUUUUUAACGUGUUUUUAGAGGCCGUGCAUUUCUUUUCCAGGCCGUGCUUGUCAUUGCUUUUCCCUAUGCCGCUAGGUCUUUUCCCUAGCAGGGCUUUGCUUUGUCUUGCUCAGCUUUCAUCCGCAUUGCCUUCCUCUCCUGUGCUGUGCUAGGCUUCCUUUGGAGACUGUCUCACUGAUUUUGCUGCCGAGUCGAUUGGUAAAUUUAUGAACGCAUAAACCAUCGGAAACAGAACUUGGCCUCCCCGCAGUCCAGCGACUGUCCACUCGGAACUGGCACGUGUGGGCAGCAGGCCUGGCCAGCCGACAUGGUCCAUUCUUUGUCCCCAGCCAUGCGGCAAGCUGCCAGGUGGGCCCCACUGCUCGUUGUGUGUCUGAGGUUCUCAACGACAGUAAGUAACUACAUGAUUCCCACAACUACAGUGGAAGAAAUCCACAACAACAACAAACAACAACAACAACAAGAACAAGAACAACAACAACAACAACAACAACAACAACAACAACAACAACAAAAUACAUAGAAAUAUAUAAAACUAGCUAAGGCAAGACAUGGUUCUUGCCCACCGUCACGGUGGACCAGGAGAUGUGAAGGAGGCUGGGGAGAGGGCGAUCAGGGUACAGCCACUGUCCAAGUCUGGCUGCCACCUGUACACAAAAUGAGGGCCCUCCGGUCUCCCCCCCACAGACACUUGGAACCCAAAGGAGUGCUGGCCGCCAGCUCGCUACGUUCGCUUUGCUUCUCUUUGUUCUGCCUUGCUCCGCUUUGCUUUGCUCUUCCUGGCACAGUUUUGCUUUUCCAUACCUCCUUUUCUCUGCUGUUCUUACCUCAGAUUGCUUUGCUUUUUCUCUCCUGGAAAUGCUGUGUUUUUCCUUGUGCAACUUUGCUUUGCUUUGCUUUGCUUUGCUUUGCUUUGCUUUGCUUUUUCUUUCCUGGGCCUGCUACGUUUUUACUUGUGCGGUCAUGCUUUAUUUUUUAUUUCUUUGCUUCGUGUUCCUGUCAGUGCUUUGCUUUACCUUCUCUGCUCUUCUGUACCUUUCUUAGCCUUGCUGUGCUUUGCUUUGACUCAAACUGCUUUCUUUCCUUGGCUUUCCCUUUCCUGGCACCGCUUUGUUUUUCCCCGUGCUCCUUUCCUUAGCUUUGCCGUCUUUAUGAAUGCAUAAACAAGUUCAUGAAACUUGUUUAUGAACACAUAGAAAAGUUAGCCGGCCUGCAGCCCGACAGCUGUCCCCUCGGAGCUGGCGGGCAGGGACAGGGAUCUGGCUACCGGGCCAGGUCUAUUUUGUUGCCCACCGUUGUCCGGAGAGCCACCAGGUGGGCUCUGUUGCUAUUCGUCUGGGGAGGGGUGUGGGUUGAGAACAACAAUAAAUAACUACUCGAUUCCUAAAACUAAAGGGGGAAACAGAUGGAGAAAAUACUAUUAUUAUUACUACUACUACUACUAUUUUUAUUACGUUUUAAUGAUACUUAUUUCUAUUACUAUUUAAUACUUUUAUUUCUAAUAGCUUUU
rnacentral:lncRNA from 1 species